GCUUUGUCUUUAACUGAUAUGAAGAGCUUGCUCUGAUUUGAUUUUAUCUGACAAAGAGUGGCGAACGGGUGAGUAACACGUGGGUAACCUACCUCUUAGCAGGGGAUAACAUUUGGAAACAAGUGCUAAUACCGCAUAAUACCAACAACCGCAUGGUUGUUGGUUGAAAGAUGGUUCUGCUAUCACUAAGAGAUGGACCCGCGGUGCAUUAGCUAGUUGGUAAGGUAACGGCUUACCAAGGCAAUGAUGCAUAGCCGAGUUGAGAGACUGAUCGGCCACAAUGGGACUGAGACACGGCCCAUACUCCUACGGGAGGCAGCAGUAGGGAAUCCUCCACAAUGGGCGCAAGCCUGAUGGAGCAACGCCGCGUGUGUGAUGAAGGGUUUCGGCUCGUAAAACACUGUUAUAAGAGAAGAACGGCACUGAGAGUAACUGUUCAGUGUGUGACGGUAUCUUACCAGAAAGGAACGGCUAAAUACGUGCCAGCAGCCGCGGUAAUACGUAUGUUCCAAGCGUUAUCCGGAUUUAUUGGGCGUAAAGCGAGCGCAGACGGUUAUUUAAGUCUGAAGUGAAAGCCCUCAGCUCAACUGAGGAAUGGCUUUGGAAACUGGAUGACUUGAGUGCAGUAGAGGAAAGUGGAACUCCAUGUGUAGCGGUGAAAUGCGUAGAUAUAUGGAAGAACACCAGUGGCGAAGGCGGCUUUCUGGACUGUAACUGACGUUGAGGCUCGAAAGUGUGGGUAGCAAACAGGAUUAGAUACCCUGGUAGUCCACACCGUAAACGAUGAGUGCUAGAUGUUCGAGGGUUUCCGCCCUUGAGUGUCGCAGCUAACGCAUUAAGCACUCCGCCUGGGGAGUACGACCGCAAGGUUGAAACUCAAAGGAAUUG
rnacentral:rRNA from 1 species